CACACCCCCAGCGCCUAUAAAUAGCAGCCCCCGCAGCAAAGAGAGACACCAAACCAAACCACCAGACCUUCUCCAAGACAUCAGAUACAAGAAGCUAGCACUAGCUCAGUAGAAUCUCCCCAGGGAAGCUUUACCUCCUCCAAAGGAUGUCUUCUGGGUCAUCGUCUCGGAGCACCUCGCCGAGCUCCGACUCGGAGUGGAGCAAGAAGGAGAACAAGAUGUUCGAGGAGGCGCUCGCCUACUACGGCGAGGGCGCCCCCAACCUCUGGGACAAGGUGGCCAGCGCCAUGGGGGGCACCAAGUCCGCCGAGGAGGUGCGCCGCCACUUUCAGAUCCUCAUCGAUGACGUCAACAACAUAGAGUACGGCCGCAUCCCCUUCCCCAAGUACAAGACCCAAGGAUUCUGGACCUGAAAGGAUGAAGCAGUGUAAGCUCCAGUGGACAGUGGACAGUGGACAGUGAACAAAGGUGUACAAACUAGAUCUCUAAGAAGUAAGAAUGGAAUAUUGUUCUAGGAGUAAGCAAGGGAAUCCAGCAUUGGUUAGAAUAACAGGAAGGAAAUGAGUAUUGUCUAUUGUGUGUACAAAGUAUUGUUAGGUCAUGUCCAAGGUUAAGUCUGUCUCUAUGUCGUUGUAGAUUCUCGUCUACAUUCAUGAUCUGUGUGUUGUUAUCUGUUCAAAUCAAGUCAUCAAGUAAGCUGUCAUGUAAACUCAUGUAUUAGUGUUAUUUGUAAAAAGUUGUACCUGUCGC
rnacentral:rRNA from 1 species